GAGCGCCGUGGUAUGUAAUUCCACUUAUGGGGUGAUAUACUCCUCUUAUCA
rnacentral:tRNA from 1 species